GACGAACGCUGGCGGCGCGCUUAACACAUGCAAGUCGAGCGAGAACCAGACCUUCGGGUCUGGGGACAGCGGCGAACGGGUGAGUAACACGUGGGUAAUCAACCCUCGGUACUGGGAUAGCCCGGGGAAACCCGGAUUAAUACCGGAUGGCCCUUCGGAUCUUCGGUUCUGAAGGAAAAGGUAGCUUCGGCCUCCGACCGAGGACGAGCCCGCGGCGGAUUAGCUUGUUGGUGGGGUAACGGCCUACCAAGGCGGCGAUCCGUAGCUGGUCUGAGAGGACGAUCAGCCACCCUGGGACUGAGACACGGCCCAGACUCCUACGGGAGGCAGCAGUGGGGAAUCUUGCGCUAAUGCGGGAAACCGUGACGCAGCGACGCCGCGUGAGGGAAGAAGGCCUUCGGGUUGUAAACCUCUUUCAGGAGGGACGAAGCUACUCGGGUUAAUAGCCCAGAGGGUGACGGUACCUCCAGAAGAAGCCCCGGCUAACUACGUGCCAGCAGCCGCCGUAACAC
rnacentral:rRNA from 1 species